UUGGGCCUGCUCGGUGAAAAGUUUUAACAGCUGCGGUAUUUUAACUGUACUAAGGUAGCAUAAUAAUUUGCCUUAUAAUUUGAGGCUAGAAUGAAUGGUUUGACGAAGGUUAAUCUGUCUCUAUUUUACUUUUUAGAAAUUAAUUUUCAUAGUGAAAAGGCUUGAAUUUUUUAAAGGGACGAGAAGACCCUAUUGAGCUUGUAAUUUUAUUAUUAUUAGUAUUAUUUAUUCUUAUUGGUAGUAUAUAAAUUUUAAUUGGGGUGAUUAAGGAAUAAGGUUUGUACUUUUAGUAACUUCCUUAUUAAUAAUGAUUGUUAAAUAAAGUAACCAAUAUUAUUGCUUAUACUAUAGUUACCAUAGGGAUAACAGCGUAAUUUAUUUAGAGAGUUCUUAUUGAAAAAUAAGAUUGCGACCUCGAUGUUGGAUUAACAGUAACCUUAAGGUGCAGAAGC
rnacentral:rRNA from 1 species